GACGAACGCUGGCGGCGUGCUUAACACAUGCAAGUCGAACGAAGUGGCGAACGGGUGAGUAAUACGUGGUUAACCUGCCCUCCUUAUUGGUAUAAGCCUUGGAAACGGGGUCUACUACCGAACAAAGGCGGAUGGGUUCGUGGCUUAUCAGCUUGUUGGUGGGGUGAUGGCCUACCAAGGCGGUGACGGGUAGCCGGCCUGAUACGGUAACCGGUCACAUUGAGACAGAGUAAAGACCUAGGAACGUACGGGGUGCGGCAGUGGGGGAUAUUGCACAAAGAGCGAGAGACUGAUGCAGCGAGUCCGCGUGGGGGAUGAGGGCGUUCGAGUUGUAAACUUCUUUCGGUAUCGAACGGGUAGGUGGAGAAGAAGCGCCGGCUAACUCCGUGCCAGCAGCCGCGGUAAUAC
rnacentral:rRNA from 1 species